rnacentral:rRNA from 1 species
GACAGAGGCCUCAAGCGUUAGGCGGAAUCACUGGGCUUAAAGCGUGUGUAGGCGGACUUCUAAGUGCCUUGUGAAAUCCCACGGCUCAACCGUGGAACUGCUGGGCAUACUGGGAGUCUUGGGCCAUUCAGGGGCAACUGGAACAAGCGGUGGAGCGGUGAAAUGCGUAGAUAUCGAGAGGAACACCUGCGGCGAAGGCGGGUUGCUGGGCUGACACUGACGCUGAAGUGCGAAAGCUAGGGGAGCGAACGGG